ACCAAGAGUGCACUGCCUGAGGGGAGGGGAGGGUCUGGCCACCUCAUUCCCUGCCCACAUGCACGCAGUCGUCUUUGACAGUGCCCAGUUUAGUAUAAAGGAAGGGGCAGAACUCAGUACUGACUGGAGCUCAGCCAUGGGAUAGAGCACGCAUCACCCGGAACUUUUUCGGGAUUCACGUGUUGGUCUCAUGCCAGGACUGAAACGGGCUUCCCAGUCUAAGAGGGCAGCAUAUGGAUCAGUGGGCUAAGCCUGUGUGCCUGUGAUCAAAAGGUCAUCAGUUCAAAACCCACUUGGGCAUAUCUGUGGGGCUUUGAGCAACUUAACCCCCAGCUCCCUGGGUUAAAGAUAAUUUCCCUAUAGGGAUCAAUGAGGUGUCUAUUAUUAUCUAGAACUACCUCAUGAUCAUGUCAGUUAUUUGUCACUUCAUUGAAGAAUACAAAAUGGCCUCCUGUCUUCUGGACUGUUCUGAAUUCAGUUGCAGACAUACAUCAGAAAAUGUGGCUGAGGAGUUCCUUAGAGUUGCCAGAGAAUGGAAGGUUAAUGACAAAGUGACUUAUUGUUAGUGAUAAUGCAGCACGCAUAAUGAAAGCUGUCCAAACCUUUAAGUGGACUUGGCACAUGUCUAGCUCUCGCAAUCAACUUUUAUUGAAAGUUGCCCUAAAAGAAAUGAAGACCACUGUGGGAUUCUUCCACAGGAGCACAAUAACUGCAGAAAUGCUUAUGUCUAUACAAUUGCAGAUGAGGUUGCCAGUCCGAGACUCAAACAAGACUACACAGUGGAACUCAACACAUUGUAUGUUAGAACACUUUUCGAAUUGAAGAUUCUUUAUUUGUCUAAUGAAAAGUACCCUGAUUCAGCCCUGAGACUGUGCAAUAAAGUUUAACAAAUUGUGUGUUUAACACCUCUUAAAUUUGGCUUUAAAACCAUCAUGGAUUUCAAGUGCUUUUGCUUGAAAUGCUACAUUAAAUCUUGACCAAUUUUUUUGAAAAUAAA